CCCAAGAGUCCUUUCUUAUCUUUCUCCUCUGCUAUGUAAAAAUACAGAGAGAAGGUGGCAAUCUGCAUCUGAUCAAAAAGUCCAUUGGUCACUGAAUCAUGCUCUGAGUCUCCUCUCACUUCCUGCUCCCCGGAUUGUAAGAAAUGGAUAUUGAUGUCAACACACCAAUAUGUAGCCUGUUGUCAUGGCAGCCUGAACUAAGAAAACUACAAAGAAUCCUAUAGCAAAACAACCUUGUUUCCCACCAGCAGCUUUCUGUUUCUGUUACGAAUACCUGCAAACAGGGAAAGGCAAAGUCCAAGAACACCAGUUAAACAUAGGAUUCUUGCUCUGGACUAGCCUUACAUGAAAAGCGAUGAAUUACGACGCCGUGCAUGUGGCACACCAUCUGUUUUUCUUUUGUUGUAUUCAUCAAACGCAUCUGCUCUUAUUCAGCUAUGGGGAAGCUCUUAAUCAUCAUUUACACCUCGAAAUGCUGAGAUGAAUGAACCUCAGAAAUGGGAGCCUCGCUCGCAGAGAAACAAAUAGAGCAAGAAUCUGCGUUUCAGAGCUGGGGACUGAACCCAGGGCCUUGUGCUUCCUAGAAACAAAUGAACAAACAAACAAAAAAACAAACACUUCCUAACAGCAAGUGAAAUGAUCAAUGCAUUAUAUCUGAGUCUGUUGCUGUACUAUUCCUAAACUUCCUGGCCUCCAGAACCAUGAAUGAUGCGUAUAGAAGUUUGUAAGUUGUGUAUGUUAUGCUAUUUUUUCAUGCCAACCUUAAUGGCAUGACACCAGAAAACUUUCCCAACACCCUCAUAUUCACAUUUUAUUAAUUUGACCUGAGUUGGUUUCUCCACAGCAAGCCAGUCAAUGUGAAUAAAGUAUCCUGCCCAACUAUAGAAGCUAUCCUAACAAAUUACCCAACCAGAAGAGAACGACAACUGUAACUGGUUUGUAAGCAUGUCAAUCAGGGAUAUAGGAGAUGCUGGUCCCUUCAGCUGGCAUGGACACCCAAAUACCACACUGUACUUGCAACCUGGUUUCUCAGCCAAGAUUGGGCAGUUGGUUUCCUAGCUAAAUUAACCUGUGCAAAACAUCUAUCAAUUUCCACAGAGCACCAAAUUGCUUGACAUUUAAAAC
rnacentral:sRNA from 1 species